UACGUAGGGGGCAAGCGUUGUCCGGAAUCAUUGGGCGUAAAGCGCGUGUAGGCGGUUCGGUAAGUCGGCUGUGAAAGUCCAGGGCUCAACCCUGGGAUGCCGGUCGAUACUGCCGGACUAGAGUUCGGAAGAGGCGAGUGGAAUUCCCGGUGUAGCGGUGAAAUGCGUAGAUAUUGGGAGGAACACCAGUGGCGAAGGCGGCUCACUGGACCGGUUCUGACGCUGAUGCGCGAAAGCGUGGGGAGCAAACGGG
rnacentral:rRNA from 1 species